UACGCAGGGUGCGAGCGUUAAUCGGAAUUACUGGGCGUAAAGGGUGCGCAGGCGGCCCUACAAGUUUGGUGUGAAAUCCCUGGGCUUAACCUAGGAACUGCACUGAAGACUGUAAGGCUAGAGUGUGCUAGAGGGGGGUGGAAUUCCUGGUGUAGCAGUGAAAUGCGUAGAGAUCAGGAGGAACACCGAUGGCGAAGGCAGCCCCCUGGGGCAGCACUGACGCUCAUGCACGAAAGCGUGGGGAGCAAAC
rnacentral:rRNA from 1 species